rnacentral:tRNA from 1 species
UCUAAGGAUGAAUGAAAGUAAAAUUUCAUUCUAAAUAAUAUACAUAGGUAAUGUUGACCGUCCUCAUUUCUCUUCUUAAAAUAAUGUUUCCUUCUUGUAGGGCCGGUAGCUCAGUUGGUUAGAGCACACCCUUGAUAAGGGUGGGGUCGAAAGUUCGAGUCUUUCUCGGCCCACCAUACUUAACUGGGGGAUUAGCUCAGCUGGGAGAGCGCCUGAUUUGCAUUCAGGAGGUCAGCGGUUCGAUCCCGCUAUCCUCCACCAGGAAACAUUUAGUUAUAAAAAUUGUGAAUAAAAAUAAUAAUUAAUAUCAAUAUCUAUAUCCGAACAUUAGUAAUGUUAUUAGCUAAUGUUCAAAAUAAAAAUUUGAUUCAACAUAGAAAGAAUUUUUUUCUG